GGCGGCAUCGGCGGCUUCUUCUCGUCGCUAUUUGGUGGCGGCUCUUCUCAGCCCCCACCACCCGCUGCACAGGUGAGCAGCUGGGGGGCUAACUGGCUGGGGGGGUAGCUGGGGGGGCGUAGUGGCUGUGGGGGCGUAGUGGCUGGGGGGGUGGGGGGGUGUGAAACCUGAAGUCCGUACAGGCGGGUACGGCAAGCCCCGGGAACAGGGGGUUUCUGCACGGUGGUCGAUACCCUCAACUUGCUGUCGUACACCUUCCUCCGUGCACCUGUGUUUCAACCAGGUGACGGACCUCUCCGCGGAUCCCUUCCAGCCGCCCCCGCUGCCUAAGGAGUUCGUGAUGCAUGCGGAGGGCGGGGACGGGUCGUUCAAACAACACUGAGCAGCAGCAGCAAUAGCAGUAGCAGCAGUAGCAGCAGUUGCAGCAGCGGGAGGAGGAGGAGGAGGGUGGUGUGGCGAGCGCAGUGGGGGGGUUUAGGGUUUUGGGCUCCGGGGUUGUCAGGGCCGAGUGUGGGGGGUUGUGUUGGGGCCCCUGGGUGGGUGGCGAGGGGGAUAGUAUAGCGGGGUGACGGAAGCGUGUAACGGCGUGUCAGGGGGUGCCCGCUGUUCCGUCCACGGCAGGGGGAGGGAGGAGGGGGGGUCCUGAUGGCCCCGCGGGAAGGGUGCGAGGGAGCUCUUCGGGCGGCCGGGUGACACACCCCCUCCCGCCAAUAGACGCCAUGGGGACGAGGGGAGGGGGAGAGGUGGGAGGGAAGAGAGGGGGAGGCGGGGAGACAGAACCUUCCGAUUUGAACGCGGGUGGGGAAAAGGGUGUCGGCGGGGGGUAUUGCGAAGGGAAAGUGUGGAUGUGUUUAGGAGGCUGGAGAAAGAGAUGUGCGUGUGUGACUUGCGUACCAGGCACUGUGCAAUAGCAGGGAGCAGCCGCAGAGGUAGACAUACAUACACAUUUACAUACAUACCAGGGACAGUGGAGGCGAACGCACUGCCUUGGGCUGCUCUCCUUCAGGGUUGUGUAUGGGAAGGGCUUUUGGGGUCCCCGCCCGGGCGCGGAAGGCGGUGGGUGGUCCUUUUUAUUCCGCCAUGGUGUCCUGGGUGAGUGAGUGUGUGUGUGUGUGUAUGGGGGGAAAUGGGGGGUGACGGAGUGGGGGGAAGGGGCACCCUCUCCCACAUCCAUCACUUGCGCCGGCGCACUUGGGUACUAUGGUGGUUUGAUGAUCCUGGUUCGGUGCAGGCGGUCGAGGAGGAGGCGGGGUGAAUGUGGUGUGGUGUGGUGUGGUGUGGUGUGGUGUAAUGGAAGUGGAGGAAUGGUAAGGUGACGAGGGCCAACUCUCUCCCUUCUCCCUGCAGCUUUCUGAUACCACAGGGGGCCCCAACGGCUGACCGCCGGCGCGGUGCGUGGGGAGGCUGGUGUUGUCCCCAUGCACCCCAUGCACCUCUCCCCCUCCCCCCGCCCCCCCCGGCCCCCCCGGGAUGGGGGCCCCCUCUGUAAGGCGAGACGUGCUUUUCUCUCCCAGCUUGUUGCUGUGUACUCCCUUCCCCGGGGGGUGCGCCUGCAUACAUGGCCACAAUGAUUGCCGCCCAGCCGCACUUAGCCCCCACCAGUUCUCAUGCCAAAGGUCGCAGACGAUAGUUGCUUUUGGGAAUUCGGCAAGGCAUGGCAAGCUCUGGUACAUAAAUACAUACAUACAAACAUACAUACAUAUGAGGAACAGCAGGUGGAGGAGGGAAUCCCUGAUACGUAGGUAUUAUGGCAAAUACUGAUCGUUGGCGGAGUUUGUGUAUCACGCUCCUAGUCGCCUUCUUGGGACCCUCUUGGUGAAUCUAUCGCUUCCAUUAGGUGUGCUACUCCGUCCGUUGUAAUGUUUUGUGGCUUCCCUGACAGAUUAUAGUUCUUUCGUCGGUUGUGUUCGUCGGUCGGCGUAUGUUAGUUCACAUGUUUGCCAUGUGAAUUUAUGUAUCCAUACAUCAAUUGCAUUCGCUGUCGGUAUGUGUUUGAAACUGCGUUUUUUUGGAUUGCUGGGCUGUGUGAUUGCGGAUGAAAUAACGGCAAAGACUGCGAAGCGCUGGUGCGAAUAAUUAACGGAUUCCAACGGGCUAAUGCACUUUAAGAAGCGAUUGACCUGCCUCAUUUGGGCAUAAGACUGCUCAGCUUUCGAGCACGAAAGUUCGACUAGCAAGCAUGAUCAUGGCAAGCAAGCUUGCCUUGUCAUUAAGUCGAGUCGCGUGCCAACAGGUGAUGGACAGCCUUCCACUUUGAGCAUCAAGCAUAACUCUCAGAUGUUUACCUUUUAUCUUUAAGCUUAAAAACAGUAUGCCCGAGGGCUCGCCUUAAAUAUUAAAAACCCAGAAAUUGCCUUUGAAAGCGGUUUGUUCUAACUCCCAAACAU
rnacentral:lncRNA from 1 species